rnacentral:rRNA from 1 species
CCUACGGGUGGCAGCAGUGGGGAAUAUUGGACAAUGGGCGAAAGCCUGAUCCAGCCAUGCCGCGUGUGUGAAGAAGGCCUUCGGGUUGUAAAGCACUUUCAGUGGGGAAGAAAGCCUUGGGGCUAAUACCCUCGAGGAAGGACAUCACCCACAGAAGAAGCACCGGCUAACUCCGUGCCAGCAGCCCGGUAAUACGGAGGGUGCGAGCGUUAAUCGGAAUUACUGGGCGUAAAGCGCGCGUAGGCGGUCUGAUAAGCCGGUUGUGAAAGCCCCGGGCUCAACCUGGGAACGGCAUCCGGAACUGUCAGGCUAGGGUGCAGGAGAGGAAGGUAGAAUUCCCGGGGUAGCGGUGAAAUGCGUAGAGAUCGGGAGGAAUACCAGUGGCGAAGGCGGCCUUCUGGACUGACACUGACGCUGAGGUGCGAAAGCGUGGGUAGCAAACAGGAUUAGAUACCUGGUAGUC